GAUGAACGCUGGCGGCGUGCCUAACACAUGCAAGUCGAACGAAGCGACUGGAGGAAGUUUUCGGAUGGAAUCCGGUUGACUGAGUGGCGGACGGGUGAGUAACGCGUGGAUAACCUGCCUCACACUGGGGGAUAACAGUUAGAAAUGGCUGCUAAUACCGCAUAAGCGCACAGUACCGCAUGGUACGGUGUGAAAAACCCAGGUGGUGUGAGAUGGAUCCGCGUCUGAUUAGGUAGUUGGUGAGGUAACGGCCCACCAAGCCGACGAUCAGUAGCCGACCUGAGAGGGAGACUCCCCCGCACUGGUACUGAGACACGGACCAG
rnacentral:rRNA from 1 species